ACAUGCCUACAACAUAGCAUUAAUGCAUUGGAUCUCAUUAGAACUUCAUAGUUAAGUGUGUUCAUGCUGGAGUAGUACUGGGAUGGGUGACUGCCCGAUAAGUCUUAGUGCUUUACAUGCC
rnacentral:rRNA from 1 species